AUUGAACGCUGGCGGCAGGCCUAACACAUGCAAGUCGAGCGCGAAAAUUCCUUCGGGGAUGAGUAGAGCGGCGGACGGGUGAGUAAUGCGCAGAAAUCUGCCCAGUAGUGGGGGACAACCUGGUGAAAACCAGGCUAAUACCGCAUACGCCCUACGGGGGAAAGCAGGGGAUCUUCGGACCUUGCGCUAUUGGAUGAGUCUGCGUCGGAUUAGCUUGUUGGUGAGGUAAUGGCUCACCAAGGCGACGAUCCGUAGCUGGUCUGAGAGGAUGAUCAGCCACACUGGGACUGAGACACGGCCCAGACUCCUACGGGAGGCAGCAGUUAGGAAUACUGGACAAUGGGCGAAAGCCUGAUCCAGCCAUGCCGCGUGUGUGAUGAAGGCCCUAGGGUUGUAAAGCACUUUCGUUGGGGAUGAUAAUGACCGUACCCAAAGAAGAAGCACCGGCUAACUUCGUGCCAGCAGCCGCGGUAAAGUC
rnacentral:rRNA from 1 species